CCGACGGGCACAGCAGCACCAAGCUUCCUGGAGAAGAGAGGCUGGGCCGGGGCCCCUUUGGAGCGUAGGCCCGGCGCAGUGGCACCAGUGGUGCCAUUGUAAAUCCAGUAUUGGUUCCCACCUCAGAAAGUCCCUGGCCCGACCUUGAGAAAUUACUUAUGGAUGAGUGGAAAUGGUGGGAAUAGUUGAUUGGACCAUGGAAUCAGGAAGGCAUCUGCAAUGAAGCCAGGGCUGUGACCCCAGGAGGAACAAAAGGUUGGGCACUUCCUGUUGACCUGUGUGGCAAACAGAUUGAUUCGGGGAAGAUGGAGUGGAUAACAUCUGGCCGAAUCGACCAUUCAUGUGCUAUGCAACCUAGAGUUGGUUUGUUCAGCGAAGAGCCCCUGACCAUCGAGCCCCUGGAUUGUUUGCUGGACUUCGGGUGGGAGCCCCGAGGACUGAAGCCAGGCGUUACGACAUAUGGUGAUGCCAGAUGUAGGAGUACAUGCUGCUGCGUCUGCAGCAUCCAGGAAACCUUGAAGAGAAGUCCAGGCCACUAGCCUGCCCUCAGCAAUGGCUCCUAGCUCCUGCCAAGAAUCAGAUGGGAGGAGCUCCUUGAACUUUUGCAUAGCAGACCAUGAAUUAUAGCUGUAUCUGCUAAGGAUCACGAGCUGAUUAGUGAUCCACAGGGAGAGGCCACCCAUAGAAUAAACCUUUCUGCCAAAGAGGUC